GCACAACACUGAGAUAGUCAAGUCACCAUGAAAAGGUAAACGUUUAACGUUAAGCUACAUCAAUGCAUGUUGAAAAACUGAUGCUACCAAUCUCUCCUCACUUGAUUAUUCAAGCUCAGAUUGUGAUGGACCUGGAAUGUGACACCAGUUACUCUUAAGUCAAGAACCGAAUAAAGCACAGAUGUGGAGGGAUCUGCAACUAAACUAACUGGAGGAAAGGAACCUUUAGUGUGGGUGAACAUACUACCUUGAUGUCCAACAAAGGCUGCACAAGAGCUCAUUUGAUAUUACAUAUUCUGUCCUGUCUACAUCUUUGAUGAAGUGCUUCGACAUCAG
ensembl:processed_transcript